rnacentral:misc_RNA from 1 species
UCCGAGUUGACCCCGGCAGUCUCCUAUGAGUCCCCACCAUCACGUGCUGGCAACAUAGGACGAGGGUUGCGCUCGUUGCGGGACUUAACCCAACAUCUCACGACACGAGCUGACGACAACCAUGCACCACCUGUGCACGGCCCUUACGGACCCACCAUCUCUGGAGGAUUUCCGUGCAUGUCAAGCCCUGGUAAGGUUCUUCGCGUUGCAUCGAAUUAAGCCACAUGCUCCACCGCUUGUGCGGGCCCCCGCCAAUUCCUUUGAGUUUCAACCUUGCGGCCGUAGUCCCCAGGCGGUUCACUUAAUGCGUUAGCUGCGGCACCGAGGGUUGCCCCCCAACACCUAGUCCGCAUCGUUUACGGCGUGGACUAC